rnacentral:misc_RNA from 1 species
GAUGAAGAACGUAGCGAAAUGCGAUAAGUAAUGUGAAUUGCAGAAUUCAGUGAAUCAACGAAUCUUUGAACGCACCUUGCGCCCUUUGGCCAUUCCGAAGGGCAUGCCUGUUUGAGUAUCAUGAACACCUCAACUCUCAUGGCUUGCCAUGAUGAGCUUGGACUUUGGGGGUCUGGCUGGCCUGUGGUCGGCUCCUCUCAAAUGAAUCAGCUUGCCAGUGUUUGGUGGCAUCACAAGUGUGAUAACUAUCUGCGCUCGUGGUUUCCAUCAGAUAACCUCCAGUGAUGGAGGUUCGCUGGAGCUCAUAAAUGUCUCUCCUAAGCGAGGACAGCUCUUUUAAUGUUUGAUCUCAAAUCAGGUAGGACUACCCGCUGAACUUAAGCAUAUCAAUAAGCGGAGGA